rnacentral:rRNA from 1 species
GAUGAACGCUGGCGGCGUGCCUAAUACAUGCAAGUCGAGCGACCAGAUGGGGAGCUUGUUCCUCUGACGUUAGCGGCGGACGGGUGAGUAACACGUGGAUAACCUACUUAUAAUACUGGGAUAAUUUCGGGAAACCGGAGCUAAUACUGGCUAAUAUAUUGAACCGCAUGGAUCAAUAGUGAAUGACGGCUUUGCUGUCUCUAAUAGCUGGAUUCGAGCCGCAUUAGCUAGGUGGUAAGGUAACGGCUUACCAAGGAAGCGAAGCGUAGCCGACCUGAGAGGGUGAUCGGCCACACUGGAACUGGAACACGGUCCAGACUCCUACGGGAGGCAGCAGUAGGGAAUCUUCCGCAAUGGGCGGAAGCCUGACGGAACAACGCCGCGUGAGUUAUAAAAGUCUUCGGAUCUGAAAACUCUGUUAUUAGGGAAAAACAAAUGUGUAAGUAACUAUGCACGUCUUGACGGUACCUAAUCAGAAAAGCACGGCUAACUACGGG